CAACAAUAGCAGUCGUACUUAAUUAUAAUAUUUAAUAUUAAUUGAUUAUUGAAAAUAGGCUUCGGAUUUGCUAUAAAAUGAAUCCUAAACUUGAGACCCGACUAUAGUUCAACAAUUGCCAGUAAACAUCAAUAUACAAUGAAAUUCACCAGCAUUUUCGCAAUUGCCGUUGCCAUGGUUUUGGCUAUUAGCUCAGCCGAGGCUAAACCUGAACCAAAACCCGAACCAUUACCGGAGCCAAUUUUAAAUGUCGUCACCAAUUUACUUAGCGGUAUUUUGGGCGGCAGGUAAAUGGAAUUGCUUGCACGGAACGCCGUGAUCGUUAUACAUGAAAAUUGAAAAAAUAAAAU